UACGAAGGGGGGCUAGCGUUACUCGGAUUGACUGGGCGUAAAGGGCGCGUAGGCGGCUUGUACAGUCAGACGUGAAAUUCCUGGGCUCAACCUGGGGGCUGCGUUUGAUACGUGCGGACUUGAGUGCGGAAGAGGUCGUGGAAUUCCCAGUGUAGAGGUGAAAUUCGUAGAUAUUGGGAAGAACACCGGUGGCGAAGGCGGCGACCUGGUCCGAUACUGACGCUGAGGC
rnacentral:rRNA from 1 species